GACGAACGCUGGCGGCGUGCUUAACACAUGCAAGUCGAGCGGUAAGGCCCUUUCGGGGGUACACGAGCGGCGAACGGGUGAGUAACACGUGGGUGACCUGCCCUUAGCUCUGGGAUAAGCCUGGGAAACUGGGUCUAAUACUGGAUAUGACUCCACGGUGCAUGUCGUGGGGUGGAAAGCCUUGUGCGGCUGAGGAUGGGCCCGCGGCCUAUCAGCUUGUUGGUGGGGUGAUGGCCUACCAAGGCGACGACGGGUAGCCGGCCUGAGAGGGCGACCGGCCACACUGGGACUGAGACACGGCCCAGACUCCUACGGGAGGCAGCAGUGGGGAAUCUUGCGCAAUGGGCGAAAGCCUGACGCAGCGACGCCGCGUGAGGGAUGACGGCCU
rnacentral:rRNA from 1 species